rnacentral:rRNA from 1 species
ACCGGCAAACGGGUGAGGAACAUGUACGCAACCCUCCUUUAACUGGAGAAUAGCCCCUCGAAAGAGGGAUUAAUACUCCGUAACAUCCCGAUGUGGCAUCACAACGGAAUUAUAGCUCCGGCGGUUAAAGAUGGGCGUGCACCUGAUUAGAUAGUUGGCGGGGUAACGGCCCACCAAGUCUGCGAUCAGUAACUGGUGUGAGAGCACGACCAGUCACACGGGCACUGAGACACGGGUCCGACUCCUACGGGAGGCAGCAGUAAGGAAUAUUGGUCAAUGGACGCAAGUCUGAACCAGCCAUGCCGCGUGGAGGAUUAAGGCCCUCUGGGUUGUAAACUCCUUUUAUCUGGGAAGAAAUGUACUUUUUCUUGAGUACUUGACGGUACCAGAGGAAUAAGCACCGGCUAACUCCGUGCCAGCAGCCGCGGUAAUACGGAGGGUGCAAGCGUUAUCCGGAUUCACUGGGUUUAAAGGGUGCGUAGGCGGGCAGGUAAGUCAGUGGUGAAAUCUCCGAGCUUAACUCGGAAACUGCCGUUGA